rnacentral:rRNA from 1 species
UACGGGGGGGGCAAGCGUUGUUCGGAAUUACUGGGCGUAAAGGGCGCGUAGGCGGCCUUCUAAGUCGAACGUGAAAUCCCCGGGCUCAACCCGGGAACUGCGUCCGAGACUGGAAGGCUUGAAUCCGGGAGAGGGAUGUGGAAUUCCAGGUGUAGCGGUGAAAUGCGUAGAUAUCUGGAGGAACACCGGUGGCGAAGGCGGAUCUCUGGGCCAUUACUGACGCUGAGGAGCGAAAGCGUGGGGAGCGAACAGG